rnacentral:misc_RNA from 1 species
GAUGAAGAACGCAGCGAAAUGCGAUACCUGGUGUGAAUUGCAGAAUCCCGCGAUCCAUCGAGUCUUUGAACGCAAGUUGCGCCCGAGGCCACCCGGCCGAGGGCACGCCUGCCUGGGCGUCACGCCAAAACACGCUCCCACCCCCCCUCACCGGGGGAGCGGGACGCGGCGUCUGGCCCCCCGUGCCGCGAGGCGCGGUGGGCCGAAGAUCGGGCUGCCGGCGUACCGUGCCGGGCACAGCGCGUGGUGGAUCUCUACUCGGCGCAGUGCACCCGGCGCGUAGCCGGCGCAGCGGCCCCUAAGGACCCAACGAACGGAGCGCGAGCCGCUCCGACCGCGACCCCAGGUCAGGCGGGACUACCCGCUGAGUUUAAGCAUAUCAAUAAGCGGAGGA